rnacentral:rRNA from 1 species
AUUCCAGCUCCAAUAGCGUAUAUUUAAGUUGUUGCAGUUAAAAAGCUCGUAGUUGGAUUUCGGUUGAGAGCGGCCGGUCCGCCGUUUGGUGUGCACUGGCUGGUUUCAGCUUCCUGCAGAGGACGCGCUCUGGGCUUAAUCGUCUGGACGUGGAGUCUGCGUGGUUACUUUGAAAAAAUUAGAGUGUUCAAAGCGGGCUUACGCUUGAAUAUUUCAGCAUGGAAUAACACUAUAGGACUCCUGUCCUAUUUCGUUGGUCUCGGGACGGGAGUAAUGAUUAAGAGGAACAGUUGGGGGCAUUCAUAUUUCAAUGUCAGAGGUGAAAUUCUUGGAUUUAUGGAAGACAAACUAAUGCGAAAGCAUCUACCAAGGAUGUUUUCAUCG